rnacentral:rRNA from 1 species
AAUGGGUCAGCGACUUAUAUUCUGUAGCAAGGUUAACCGUAUAGGGGAGCCGUAGGGAAACCGAGUCUUAACCGGGCGUUAAGUUGCAGGGUAUAGACCCGAAACCCGGUGAUCUAGCCAUGGGCAGGUUGAAGGUUGGGUAACACUAACUGGAGGACCGAACCGACUAAUGUUGAAAAAUUAGCGGAUGACCUGUGGCUGGGGGUGAAAGGCCAAUCAAACCGGGAGAUAGCUGGUUCUCCCCGAAAGCUAUUUAGGUAGCGCCUCGUGAAUUCAUCUCCGGGGGUAGAGCACUGUUUCGGCUAGGGGGCCAUCCCGGCUUACCAACCCGAUGCAAACUGCGAAUACCGGAGAAUGUUAUCACGGGAGACACACGGCGGGUGCUAACGUCCGUCGUGAAGAGGGAAACAACCCAGACCGCCAGCUAAGGUCCCAAAGUCAUGGUUAAGUGGGAAACGAUGUGGGAAGGCCCAGACAGCCAGGAUGUUGGCUUAGAAGCAGCCAUCAUUUAAAGAAAGCGUAAUAGCUCACUGGUCGAGUCGGCCUGCGCGGAAGAUGUAACGGGGCUAAACCAUGCACCGAAGCUGCGGCAGCGACGCUGAUGCGUUGUUGGGUAGGGGAGCGUUCUGUAAGCCUGUGAAGGUGGCCUGUGAGGGUUGCUGGAGGUAUCAGAAGUGCGAAUGCUGACAUAAGUAACGAUAAAGCGGGUGAAAAGCCCGCUCGCCGGAAGACCAAGGGUUCCUGUCCAACGUUAAUCGGGGCAGGGUGAGUCGACCCCUAAGGCGAGGCCGAAAGGCGUAGUCGAUGGGAAACGGGUUAAUAUUCCCGUACUUGGUGUUACUGCGAAGGGGGGACGGAGAAGGCUAUGUUGGCCGGGCGACGGUUGUCCCGGUUUAAGCGUGUAGGUGUGUGUUCCAGGUAAAUCCGGUUCACUUUAACACUGAGGCGUGAUGACGAGGCACUACGGUGCUGAAGCAACAAAUGCCCUGCUUCCAGGAAAAGCCUCUAAGCAUCAGGUAACAUCAAAUCGUACCCCAAACCGACACAGGUGGUCAGGUAGAGAAUACCAAGGCGCUUGAGAGAACUCGGGUGAAGGAACUAGGCAAAAUGGUGCCGUAACUUCGGGAGAAGGCACGCUGACACGUAGGUGAAGUGAUUUACUCAUGGAGCUGAAGUCAGUCGAAGAUACCAGCUGGCUGCAACUGUUUAUUAAAAACACAGCACUGUGCAAACACGAAAGUGGACGUAUACGGUGUGACGCCUGCCCGGUGCCGGAAGGUUAAUUGAUGGGGUCAGCGCAAGCGAAGCUCCUGAUCGAAGCCCCGGUAAACGGCGGCCGUAACUAUAACGGUCCUAAGGUAGCGAAAUUCCUUGUCGGGUAAGUUCCGACCUG